UAACUCUGCACUUCACCCGAUAAGGUGGAUUCCAGCUUCCUUCCUUGAUAUACCAGCACCCAAAUUCCAACUUCCAACAUCAGAUGUCACCUUGAAAGGUGGAAUCCAGCUUGAUGAUGAUGUAUACCAGCACCCAUAUCCAACUUCCAAAAUCGGAUAUCACCUUGAAAGGUGGAUUCCAGCUUCAUGAUGAUGUAUACCAGCACCCAUACCCCAUUACAAUUCUGCACUUCACCCGAUAAGGUGGAUUCCAGCUUCCUUCCUUGAUAUACCAGCACCCAAAUUCCAACUUCCAAAAUCAGAUGUCACCUUGAAAGGUGGAUUCCAGCUUGAUGAUGAUGUAUACCAGCACCCAUACCCAAUUACAAUUCUGCACUUCACCUGAUAAGGUGGAUUCCAGCUUCCUUCCUUGAUAUACCAGCACCCAAAUUCCAACUUCCAAAUUCCAACUUUCAGCUUCCAACUUCCAAAAUCAGACGUCACCUUGAAAGUAGGAUUCCGGCUUGAUGAUGAUGUAUACCAGCACCCAAAUUCCAGCUUCCAAAAUCAGAUGUCAUCUUGAAAGGUGGAUUCCAGCUUCCUUCCUUGAUAUAGCAGCACCCAAAUUCCAACUUCCAAAAUCAGAUGUCACCUUGAAAGGUGGAUUCCAGCUUGAUGAUGAUGUAUACCAGCACUCAUAUUCAUCUUAAACUCUGCAUUUCACCUGAUAAAGUGGAUUCCAGCUCCCUUCCCUGAUAUACCAGCACCCAAAUUCCAACUUCCAAAUUCCAACUUUCAGCUUCCAACUUCCAAAAUCAGACGUCACCUUGAAAGUAGGAUUCCGGCUUGAUGAUGAUGUAUACCAGCACCCAAAUUCCAGCUUCCAAAAUCAGAUGUCAUCUUGAAAGGUGGAUUCCAGCUUCCUUCCUUGAUAUACCAGCACCCAAAUUCCAACUUCCAAAAUCAGAUGUCACCUUGAAAGGUGGAUUCCAGCUUGAUGAUGAUGUAUACCAGCACUCAUAUUCAUCUUAAACUCUGCAUUUCACCUGAUAAAGUGGAUUCCAGCUCCCUUCCCUGAUAUACCAGCACCCAAAUUCCAACUUCCAAAAUCAGACGUCACCUGUAUGGCUGAACAGGCAGCCAAAACCUUGCCUAGUAAACCUUAAGUCGGGUGGGGGAAGGGCAAAUUCUGAAUUUCAUACGCUUCAACGUCUACAGAUAAAGGGGACUACAUGACUGGAAAUAGGGAAAGAUGGGGAUCAGAUCAUUUUUGCAUGUCUGUCAGGAUGGAGAGAGGAGAGUUUCACAAAGUGAAGGCUCAGCAGCAGCUUAGUGAGUCCAUCGCAAAACUCUACUUUUACCAGAUGCUGAAAGCAGUCCAGGUGAGACAGACUAUAGUAUUAUGGUUGUUAUUGUUCCCAGAACACUGGAAAUACGGAAAGAUGGGGAUCGGAUUAUUUUUGCGUGUCUGUCUGUCAGGAUGGAGAGUGCAGAGUUCCACAAAGUGAAGGCUCAUCAGCAGCUUAGUGAGUCCAUUGCAAAACUCUACUUUUACCAGAUGUUGGGAGCAGUCCAGGAACAGGAUCAUCCACAGACUGCUGAAACCUGGCAUGAUGAGCUGCUGUUAUAUCAGCUCAUACUCUUGUGUACAUUGUACUUUUGAAAAAUAAAGAGAUUCUAAUAUAA